rnacentral:rRNA from 1 species
GUGGGGAAUCUUGCGCAAUGGGCGAAAGCCUGACGCAGCCAUGCCGCGUGAAUGAUGAAGGUCUUAGGAUUGUAAAAUUCUUUCACCGGGGACGAUAAUGACGGUACCCGGAGAAGAAGCUCCGGCUAACUUCGUGCCAGCAGCCGCGGUAAUACGAAGGGGGCUAGCGUUGCUCGGAAUUACUGGGCGUAAAGGGCGCGUAGGCGGACAGCUUAGUCAGAGGUGAAAGCCCAGGGCUCAACCUUGGAAUUGCCUUUGAUACUGGCUGUCUUGAGUUUGGGAGGAGUGAGUGGAACUCCGAGUGUAGAGGUGAGAUUCGUAGAUAUUCGGAAGAACACCAGUGGCGAAGGCGACUCACUGGCCCAAUACUGACGCUGAGGCGCGAAAGCGUGGGGAGCAAACAGGAUUAGAUACCCGAGUAUCC